GGAAGGAAGCUGCUCCCCGCUCUGCUGCAGCGCUCAGCCCCGAUUUUGGCAGCAGGACGAGGGGGGCAGGUAGAGCUGCCGAGCCGCCCGGUGCCGGCAUCCCUUCCCAACCCGUCUGAACCGAAAGCCAAAGUGCCAAAACUCCCCCAAGGAGGCGCAGAAGGAGCGAAUCCUUCGGGGAAUCCCCCGGGGCUGAGGCUUCACGCCUCCCCGGGUGCCGAACAGACGCGGAACCUGCGGGAGAUGCAUCUCACACCCAGCUGACUUCAAAGCGCUGCCAGCCUUUCAGCCAGGGCAGCCGGAGCCGCUUUAUGGCCUGGGGCCUCUUUGCUGCCAUUUGCCUACAAGUGCCAGACGCUGCCUUCCUCCUCUUCCUGCCUCUUUCAGAAGCAGUUUGAUGGGGAAUUUGUUGGUUGAUUUUUCUCUCCUCCCCAACCCCCCCCCCCCUGCUCCAUCCGCCUUCAUCGGGCCGGACGGCGGUGAAUCACAGCAGGGAGCUGAUGUGACUUAAUGGGAAUUUUUAAUGGGUGUCGUGCAGAGGAGCUCAAACUGCACUGCCAGCGUGGCCAGGUGCUCACAAAGCACAGAGGACGAUGAGGGUGGCAGAGAUCUGCGUUUCUGAGCCCGGUGUGGCAGCCCAGCCCCUCAUUUCCUCCAUGCAUUGGGAAAAACAUCCGGCCUGAAUGCAGGAAACCCCCCCCCCCCCCUCGCAUGCAGCUCCCAGCUCACAGCCAUCACCCUGCAAACGGCUUCUCACACCCUGGAGGGACCCAGAUGGGAGCUGCAGAGCCUCUGCCUGCGUGCUGGGAGCAGGCAGUGAUGCUCGCUAUCCAAAACCCAGCCCGUUUUCCUCCCUACCUCCUCAUGCCCUCCUUGGCUUCGGCCCAGGCCAAAGGAAAAUCCGACUCUCCGACGGCUCUGCCAGAAGCAGCACAAAGUGGUGGCCGAGGAGCAGAGGCUUUGCUGAGAGGAGCAGAGGGAAGCUUCAAUUUUCCCCUGCACGUGCGGGAGGAAACCGGCAACCGCUGCUUUGCUGCCGGGUGUCAAAGCAGAAAGCAAAGUCACCGCGUGCUGCUGCCCCACAGCUUCACCAAGGCCGUGUGGGGAGCAGCCCUGGGGUUUGCUGAGGGGUGGCAGACAAGCAAGCACCCCACACACGGGGGAUUCAAAGCACCCCAGGGCGCCCAUGGGGGUUUUUGGGAGCCUCGCUGCACGUCGAGGGCUGCAGCUCCCCCCCCCCAGCAUCGCUGCUCUGAGGUGAGGAUCCACAAUUGCUUUCAAUGGGGCAAAAUAGGUGGAGAAAGGAAGGUGAGGAGAGAGGGGGGGGGAAGAGGGGAACGCCUGUGUUUUACCAUUCAUUUCCCUGAUAAAAAUAAACCCAUUCCUCCAACCUUA